rnacentral:tRNA from 1 species
GGGAAUAGCUCAGUUGGUAGAGCACGACCUUGCCAAGGUCGGGGUCGCGAGUUCGGAGUCUCGGUUUCC